rnacentral:rRNA from 1 species
CGAACGCUGGCGGCGUGCUUACCGCAUGCAAGUCGAACGGAAAGGCCCUGCUUUUGUGGGGUGCUCGAGUGGCGAACGGGUGAGUAACACGUGAGUAACCUGCCCUUGACUUUGGGAUAACUUCAGGAAACUGGGGCUAAUACCGGAUAGGAGCUCCUGCUUCCUGGUGGGGGUUGGAAAGUUUCGGCGGUUGGGGAUGGACUCGCGGCUUAUCAGCUUGUUGGUGGGGUAGUGGCUUACCAAGGCUUUGACGGGUAGCCGGCCUGAGAGGGUGACCGGCCACAUUGGGACUGAGAUACGGCCCAGACUCCUACGGGAGGCAGCAGUGGGGAAUAUUGCACAAUGGGCGGAAGCCUGAUGCAGCAACGCCGCGUGCGGGAUGACGGCCUUCGGGUUGUAAACCGCUUUCGCCUGUGACGAAGCGUGAGUGACGGUAAUGGGUAAAGAAGCACCGGCUAACUACGUG